UACGUGAAGUGUCCAUACGGAAAACGGUAGUGACGCCGCCAUUUUUGCCAAGACAUGGAGCAAGACAGAACAGGAUGUCGAUGAUUGUUCAUUCUCAAAUAUUUUGAUGAAAAUAAAAAAGUUCAUUUAGCCUGUUUCCACUUGGCCAAAUCAUCUGGUCACAUGUGUGGCUUGACUGCUGUCCUGCACUCCUGCCAAAAUGUCCUCAUUCUCCAUUGCAACGUUAAACAGCCAGGUGAAGUUUGCGCUUCUGCAGUGCCGACUAACAUGGUUUGGUUGCAACCAGCUGUUGAAUGAUGUGGUGAGCCGGUGAGCUGCUUCCAUGCAGUCUGUGGUGUUGGUGUUAUCCUGAAAUGUGUUGGUUGUUGUGGACUUGUAACACUACUAUACUUAUUUGUCAUUUGUUGUGACAUUAUUCAGCAUAUAAAAGGUGGCAAUUCCAUCUCAUCAUGUGACCUGAAACUGCUGUACAUUCAUUUUCCCAAAAUGUUUUUGUCUUGCUGCAUGUAGCAGCUGUAUGAUUCAUCACAUGCAGAAAUACUUCAUAACACUGAAACAUGGUGAAGUCUGCGCUUCUUCAUUUUGCAGUCCAUUGUGCACAUGGACUUGUUGCUGCCAGCCGGUGAAAGGUUUUCCUCUUGCAUGCUUGCUACCUGUACCGAUCAGGUAUAACAAACACUUCUUUAACGCUGGUGGUUACCUUGUUGCAGCCAAAUGGUGAAAGGUGUGAUGAAGACAGAUUGAACCGUUGUAUGCAGCAUGCGGUUGCAGUGUAAUCCAGAAGUUGCUGUGCUGUUGUAGCUGAGCUGUUCCAUCUGGGUUCCUGACUUAAAAAUUUUUGUGUUGUCAUUUUCAUCCGUGCCAUGAAAUUGCUCUGCAUUUUGUGUUGCUGACUUUGCUGCAACUUGUUGCGACAUUCUAUUUUGUGUUGCUGACUUUGCUGACAAAAAGUUUGAUCUGUUGUCUUUUGAGUUUUCAUUCAAUCAUGCAGUAUACAACUGAGGCAACCUGAUCAAUAUCAGGUUUGACACAGUCGAGAACUGCUAGAUUAAACAUGCUUUCUGCGCCAAACAAAUAAUAACUUGCAUAUAACUUGCAUCAUGUUAUUAUCACGGUAGAGAAAGCGACAGGUCCCCCCCCCUGGGGGCCACAGGAAAAAUGUAUAUAAUGUAUGUAAAAUGUUAUAAAAAUAAAUUUUGUAUGCAAUAAAAUAUUCUUAUCAA